rnacentral:misc_RNA from 1 species
AAAAUCACAAUUAAAGGAAAUUAUUAAAAAUAAUAAAAAAUAAAAAUUGCGAUGGAAAAAUAGGAGUAAUAUAUUUUUUUUUAUUCUAAGUCAUGACAAAAUAAAUAUAAAAAUCCUGCCAAAAAAAUAAAGUUUAUAAUUAACAAAUAAAAUAUAGGGGUUGAUCGUAGAAGGUUGAAAAUUUAGGGUUGUAUGUAUUUUUUAAUGAUGUAUCAUAAAAAAAUAAAAAUAUAAAUAAUUCAUCUA